UACGGGGGGGGCAAGCGUUGUUCGGAAUUACUGGGCGUAAAGGGCUGGUAGGCGGCCAACUAAGUCGGAUGUGAAAUCCCCAGGCUUAACCUGGGAACUGCAUCCGAUACUGGUCGGCUUGAAUCCGGGAGAGGGAUGCAGAAUUCCAGGUGUAGCGGUGAAAUGCGUAGAUAUCUGGAGGAAUACCGGUGGCGAAGGCGGCAUCCUGGACCGGCAUUGACGCUGAACAGCGAAAGCUAGGGGAGCAAACGGGAGUUAGAAACC
rnacentral:rRNA from 1 species